AGCGAACGCUGGCGGCAGGCCUAACACAUGCAAGUCGAACGAAGUCUUCGGACUUAGUGGCGGACGGGUGAGUAACACGUGGGAACGUACCUUUCGGUUCGGAACAACUCAGGGAAACUUGAGCUAAUACCGGAUGAGCCCUUAGGGGGAAAGAUUUAUCGCCGAAAGAGCGGCCCGCGUUAGAUUAGCUAGUUGGUGAGGUAAAGGCUCACCAAGGCUACGAUCUAUAGCUGGUCUGAGAGGAUGAUUAGCCACACUGGGACUGAGACACGGCCCAGACUCCUACGGGAGGCAGCAGUGGGGAAGCUUGCGCAUGGGCGAAAGCCUGACGCAGCCAUGCCGCGUGAAUGAUGAAGGUCUUAGGAUUGUAGAAUUCUUUUACCAGGGACGAUAAUGACGGUACCUGGAGAAAAAGCCCCGGCUAACUUCGUGCCAGCCGCCGCAGUAAUAC
rnacentral:rRNA from 1 species